GGGUCCAUACUGGGCUAUAAAAAUAGUGUAGUACUUGAGCAGUACUGUAAAAAUGGCAAUUAUAAAUAAUUAUGAGUGUUGAGGAGGUAAUAUGAACACUCAAGUUCAAAGCAGUAAAAUAAAAAUUAAAAAAAAAAGACAGACUUAGGUAAGCCAUCUAUCAACUCGGAGAAUGCUGAUGCUUUGUUGAAAGAGAGCUUUGUCUUACAAAUUAGGCACUUAUAAAAACUCAUCACUCACUGCAGAUGUUACUUUAAGACAUUCUGGAGCAGCGUCAUGUGCAGGAACAAUAAGGAAGUGAGUGCUUUUGUAAUUCCUGAACAACUGUGUCUUACACUUACUAAGGGAUUCAUGGGCAAUAUGACUGAAUAGGAACAGCUCCAGUCUGAAGCUCCCAGUGAGACCAACAUAGAAGAAAAACCUGGUGGUAUGGACUUCCAGCUCAAUAAUUCACUGUAAAGUUCUCUUGCCUGCCACCAUGUAAGAUAUGCUUUUACUCUUCCGCCUUCCACCGUGACUGUGAGGCCUCCCCAGCCAUGUGAAACUGCCUUUGAGCUUAUACUGAAUUAUACCACCAGCUUUCCUAGGUCUUGAAGCUUACAGACAGCAGAUCUUGGGACUUCUCAGGCACCAUAAUCAAUCAUAGAUAAAUGAUCCAAUGAUUCGGAACUUGAAAAGUGGUAGCUUUAUGAAUUCUCCUUAAGAAGAAACCUGUGCCCUGAUCUUGCCUACUCACCCAAAGGCACUGUGAGAUAGCAUCAAAGGAACAGCUAGUAAGAGACACAGAGCCAGAAAUCAGGGAAGUAAAAUACACUUGACAUCUACGUUCGGAAAGAAAUUUUAGGAGGCAGAAGCAAAUGGAUCAGAAGCUGCUUAUAUUUUUGCAAGAUUACCAAAGAAACCAUUGGUGGAGAAAGUUCUGUGACCAACUUGUCUGAGUCUAGUAAGAUUGAACGCUCACACACAAGUUUCAUGAAGUGGGUUUGAUACUUACAGAUAAGCAGCAAGGACCAACAGAAGCUGAUGAUCUAUGGUGAACUUUUUCCCAAGGCUCCGGAAAGCUGCCUAAAGUAGAUGGAGUCUUCUCUGUGUGUGCCCCACUGGUCCUGCAGUUGAAGGAUCCGGUAAAGCAGCCUGCCCUUGGUUUUAUACUCCAGAGGAACGUGAUUCGCUGGACUAAAGCAUUGAAGUGCAUCCUGUUUCCGGGGGGCACUGGAACAGAGCCUGGUCUGUUCUAGCCAGUCCCUUUCUAUCUCAGGAUAACAUUCUACAGUUAUUCUUGAGAACUAUAAUCAAAUAAGCAGGGAGAACUGGGAAAGCAGAGGCUCAUUGUGGAACCCUCAAGGAGCAUGGGGUCGUCUUCAUCCCUCAGUUUAUAAAUGGCCAAGGAGAGUAAUGCAACAAAAACUUCUCAGAGUUAAAAGCCAGAGUUCCUAAAGAACCGUGGACAAAGGGUUCUGUCUAGUGGGCAGAAUUCAUCCAGCGAAGGUGCUUACUGCACUCCCAGCAUGUGCUUGGGAACUUUAUUAAAAUUCCUUCCUAUUGAGAUUUAAAUUGCUGUCCAGAAUUAUACAAUAUAAUGAAUGGGGGCAUUCAUUAUGUGUAUUCUAUGCCUUCUCCAUCAUUGCAUAUUCAGUCCUCGUGCUAGAGAGAGGCAGAUAAUCUACCUUUUAAAUUGAUAGGUCUCCUAACUACAGAGGGUCACAUCUGGAUCUGAUGGCACCUACAGAACUUGGACUCUGAGCGACAAUCAGUGACCAGGAAAUUUGGAACCCAGGUUUUCCCAACCUACAUCUACAAAAUGGAAUGGGUCUGAUUCGCAAGUUUUCAGAGAAAGAAGCCAACCUUAAUCAGACUGUGAUAUGAUGAGGAAAUAAAACUUGCUGUGCUAA
rnacentral:lncRNA from 1 species